AACGAACGCUGGCGGCAUGCCUAACACAUGCAAGUCGAACGAGACCUUCGGGUCUAGUGGCGCACGGGUGCGUAACGCGUGGGAACCUGCCCUUAGGUUCGGAAUAACUCCCCGACAGGGGUGCUAAUACCGGAUAAUGUCUUCGGACCAAGGAUUUAUCGCAUUUGGAUGGGCCCGCGUUGGAUUAGCUAGUUGGUAGGGUAAAAGCCUACCAAGGCGACAAUCCAUAGCUGGUCUGAGAGGAUGAUCAGCCACACUGGGACUGAGACACGGCCCAGACUCCUACGGGAGGCAGCAGUGGGGAAUAUUGGACAAUGGGCUAAAGCCUGAUCCAGCAAUGCCGCGUGAGUGAUGAAGGCCUUAGGGUUGUAAAGCUCUUUUACCCGUGAUGAUAAUGACAGUACCGGGAGAAUAAGCUCCGGCUAACUCCGUG
rnacentral:rRNA from 1 species